rnacentral:rRNA from 1 species
AUUGAACGCUGGCGGCAGGCCUAACACAUGCAAGUCGAACGAGUGGCGGACGGGUGAGUAAUGUCUGGGACACUGCCUGAUGGAGGGGGAUAACUACUGGAAACGGUAGCUAAUACCGCAUACCAUCAGAUGUGCCCAGCUGGGAUUAGCUAGUAGGUGGGGUAAUGGCUCACCUAGGCGACGAUCCCUAGCUGGUCUGAGAGGAUGACCAGCCACACGUGAACGGAGACACGGUCCAGACUCCUACGGGAGGAAGCAGUGGGGAAAGUUGCACAAGGGGCGCAAGCCUGAUGCAGCCAUGCGGAGUGUGUGAAGAAGGCCUUCGGGUUGUAAAGCACUUUCAGCGAGGAGGCGUUACUCGCAGAAGAAGCACCGGCUAACUCCGUGCCAGCAGCCGCGGUAAUUC